ensembl:lncRNA
GGGGGAGGGGACAUGAGGGCUGGCGGGGGGUAGCAGAGGGGAGAGCAGUGAGCGUGGUGUGGUUGCAGGGGCUACGAGGGGAGGGGCAGGGGGUGGCAGAGGGAACAAGAGGCUGACAAAGGGAUGGAGGGGACAAAGGGGACCCCUAAGGGGCAGGGGGCCAACCCAGUAGGCCGUAAGUGCCACCAGGUCCCUGACACCUCCCCUGUCCCCUCCCCAGAUGUCCCCUGCACCACUGCAGACACAGGUCACUGUGGUGGCCACCCUGGGUGAGCUGCUGGCCACCCUGCCCAGUCGGGAUGAGAUGCUGCAGCUCAUGUCCCCAAGGUGUCUGUAUUGGGACCUGCUGGACUUCACCAAGGAGCUCCGGGCCACCCUGCACCGCUCUGAUGACACCUGGAGGCACCACGAUGUCACCUCCAAUGGUGAUGACCCUUUCGCCUCCCUGAGCCGGGCUCUGGCCACCUACAAGAGCAUCCCAGGGACCACCCGGAACCGUGUGACAAUGGCAGCCAGCGAGUGGCAGGGGUCAGUGGCUGUGCUUGUGAACAGCUGGGUCCGGCUGGCCAGGAAAGCCACCAAGCUCCGCUACACCUGGAGGGAGGUGGCCGCCAAGAUGAACACCAAGGCGGCCACCGCCACUGCCCGGGCCAGAGAGCUGCAGGACAAGGCUGCCCGUGAUGGGACAGCUCAGAAACAGAGGGUGGAGCUGGGUCUGCCCCUGUUCUGGGUGGAGAGGCCCAAGGUGGUGACUGGGCCUGAAGCCCGGGUGAAGAGAGCUGCCAGGGUGGCUGCCAGCGAGGCCACAAGGGCCACCAUGGUGAGACAGCGGGUGGAGGCGGUCCUGGGGCUGCCAGAGCGCUUGGUGGCCGCGUGUCACAAAGCCACCGCAUUCCCCCGGGAGCUGCAGCACAGGGUUGGGGACAUUGAGGCCUCCCUGAAGGGGACAAAUGAGGCAUCCUGUGAUAUCCCUGAGGACUUGGUGGCCAAGGUGGCCAUGGCUGAGCGGUUGUGGGAGGCCAACACUCGCCUGGCCGGGGAUCACCUGGUGGGGACAGUUGACGACAUUAUCAACUUCUAUUUCACUGGUGGUCCUGACAGCCCCAGUGGCUGUGGGGUGGCUGAGCGGUGCCAACGAGCCACCGAGGACAUCCCAAGGCUCCUUCGACCCCCAGAGUGUGUCCAGAGAGUCCCCAAGGUGUCCCCAGUGAGCAUGGAUCCCCAAGAGGUGCGACAGGGGGUGGUUGGGGGGGACAGAGACUGCACUGGGGGGACAUGGGGGCUGGCAGGGGGUGCUAGAGAGGACAAGAGGCUGAUAAAGGGACAGAGGGGCAAAGGGGACCCCUUGGAGGCAUGGGGACCACUGCAGGAGGCCACAAGUGCCACCAAGUCCCUGACAGCUCCCCUGUCACCUCCCCAGGUGUCCCCUCCACAGCUGCAGGUACUGGUGGCCAUGGUGGCCACUCUGGGAGAGGUGGUGGCCACCAUGACUGGGUCAGACAGGGGCAAGCUCCGGCACAAGUCCCCAAACUCCCUGCAUGAGGACCUGAGGAGAUUCACC